rnacentral:rRNA from 1 species
UACGGAGGAUCCAAGCGGUAUCCGGAUUUAUUGGGUUUAAAGGGUGCGUAGGCGGAUUGAUAAGUUAGAGGUGAAAUGUCCGAGCUCAACUCGGGAACUGCCUCUAAUACUGUUGAUCUAGAGAGUAGAUGCGGUAGGCGGAAUGUAUGGUGUAGCGGUGAAAUGCUUAGAGAUCAUACAGAACACCGAUUGCGAAGGCAGCUUACCAAUCUAUAUCUGACGUUGAGGCACGAAAGCGUGGGGAGCAAACAGG